GAUGAAGAACGUAGUGAAAUGCGAUAAGUAGUGUGAAUUGCAGAAUUCCGUGAAUCAUCGAAUCUUUGAACGCACAUUGCGCCUUGUGGUAUUCCGGAAGGCAUGCCUGUUCGAGAGUCAUUAACAACCGUUUCGAUCCCUUUCUUUCAGAAAUUACAAAGAGGAAAAGGGUUUGGUUAUGGUGGAGGAGGGAAAGGGAGCGUUUAGCCUGUAAAAAAAGAGGCUGUGUUCCGCCUCCCCCCCAAAAUUGUACAGGCGGUCGUGUGCGCCCACGCAUCGAGGUGUUGUAAAAGCUGCCACGGCACUUUUCACCUGUGCAGUGCGAGAUUGGCCAGCCGGUUUAAAAACCCCUCCAAACAAUCAAAGGUUGACCUCGGAUCAGGUAGGGAUACCCGCUGAACUUAAGCAUAUCAAUAAGCGGAGGA
rnacentral:misc_RNA from 1 species